rnacentral:rRNA from 1 species
GGACCCGCACAAGUAGUGGAGCAUGUGGUUUAAUUCGAAGAUACGCGCAGAACCUUACCAACACUUGACAUGUUCGUCGCGACUUUAAGAGAUUAAAGUUUUCGGUUCGGCCGGACGAAACACAGGUGCUGCAUGGCUGUCGUCAGCUCGUGUCGUGAGAUGUUGGUUAAGUCCCGCAACGAGCGCAACCCUCACUUUUAGUUGCCAUCAUUUAGUUGGGCACUCUGAAAGAACUGCCAGUGAUAAGCUGGAGGAAGGUGGGGAUGACGUCAAGUCCUCAUGGCCCUUACGUGUUGGGCUACACACGUGCUACAAUGGUAUCUACAACAGGAAGCAAGACUGCGAGGUCAAGCA